CUCUUCGGAGGACAAAGUGACAGGUGGUGCAUGGUUGUCGUCAGCUCGUGUCGUGAGAUGUUGGGUUAAGUCCCGCAACGAGCGCAACCCUUGAACUUAGUUGCCAUCAUUCAGUUGGGCACUCUAAGUUGACUGCCGGUGACAAACCGGAGGAAGGUGGGGAUGACGUCAAAUCAUCAUGCCCCUUAUGAUUUGGGCUACACACGUGCUACAAUGGACAAUACAAAGGGCAGCGAAACCGCGAGGUCAAGCAAAUCCCAUAAAGUUGUUCUCAGUUCGGAUUGUAGUCUGCAACUCGACUACAUGAAGCUGGAAUCGCUAGUAAUCGUAGAUCAGCAUGCUACGGUGAAUACGUUCCCGGGUCUUGUACACACCGCCCGUCACACCACGAGAGUUUGUAACACCCGAAGCCGGUGGAGUAACCAUUUUGGAGCUAGCCGUCGAAGGUGGGACAAAUGAUUGGGGUGAAGUCGUAACAAGGUAGCCGUAUCGGAAGGUGCGGCUGGAUCACCUCCUUUCUA
rnacentral:rRNA from 1 species